UAAAUACUACCUUCGUCCGGAAAUACUUGUCCUAAAAAUGGAUAUAAUGGAUGUAUCUAUAAUUAAAAUAAGUCUAGAUACAUUCAUUUCUAGGACAAGUAUUUCCGGACGGAGGGAGUAUAAG
rnacentral:pre_miRNA from 1 species